rnacentral:rRNA from 1 species
GACGAACGCUGGCGGCGUGCUUAACACAUGCAAGUAGGACGCAGUUGCGAACGGGUGAGUAACGCGUAGGUAACUACCUAUUAGAGGGGGGUAACUAUUGGAAACGAUAGCUAAUACCGCAUACUAGUAGAUGGACCUGCGUUGUAUUAGGUAGUAGGUAGGGGAAUGGCCUACCUAGGCAACGUUGCAUAGCCGACCUGGGAGGGUGAUCGGCCAAACGUGGACUGAGACACGGCCCAGACUCCUACGGGAGGCAGGAGGAGGGAAUCUUGGGGAAUGGGGGGAAACCUGACCGAGCAACGCCGCGUGAGUGAAGAAGGUUUUCGGAUCGUAAAGCUCUGUUGUUAAGGAAGCGGUACUUAACCAGAAAGGGACGGCUAACUACGUGCCAGCCGCCGCGGUAAUAC